rnacentral:lncRNA from 1 species
UGGUAGCCCCCAGCCUCCUUCUCCACCUUCUCGGCAUGAGAAAUGGAAGUUGGCUCGUAUGAAACCAUCGGACAUCUACUCUUCUGACACUGCACGGGAAAUCUCUGAAAGAAUUGUAAGUUAUCACUGUUCCUAAAAUAAUAAUAAUUUCAUUAUGCAUACUACAUCGAACUUUUUAAAGAAUAAUGGUGUUUUGUAAUGUUACAGGACUCCUUGGUUGAGCAGAGCUCCAAGGUCAAUUCAUUCUAGAGGGUCGC